GAUGAACGCUGGCGGCGUGCCUAAUACAUGCAAGUCGAGCGAACGGACGAGAAGCUUGCUUUUCUGAUGUUAGCGGCGGACGGGUGAGUAACACGUGGAUAACCUACCUAUAAGACUGGGAUAACUUCGGGAAACCGGAGCUAAUAUCGGAUAAUAUUUUGAACCGCAUGGUUCAAAAGUGAAAGACGGUCUUGCUGUCACUUAUAGAUGGAUCCGCGCUGCAUUAGCUAGUUGGUAAGGUAACGGCUUACCAAGGCAACGAUGCAUAGCCGACCUGAGAGGGUGAUCGGCCACACUGGAACUGGGACACGGUCCAGACUCCUACGGGAGGCAGCAGUAGGGAAUCUUCCGCAAUGGGCGAAAGCCUGACGGAGCAACGCCGCGUGAGUGAUGAAGGUCUUCGGAUCGUAAAACUCUGUUAUUAGGGAAGAACAUAUGUGUAAGUAACUGUGCACAUCUUGACGGUACCUAAUCAGAAAGCCACGGCUAACUACGUG
rnacentral:rRNA from 1 species